rnacentral:lncRNA from 1 species
CUCAAGGUAAUUAGCAAAAACACAGUGACAAUAGAAUCUGUUGGAAAAUAAAGCAGAGAAAGACUUGACUGGUGAAUAAUACAAUAAACUGCAUCACAAUUAAAAAAAUUUCUAUGUAACUUCAAUAAUUUUUUUUUUUUUGUGCAACUAAAAAAAUUUCUAUGUAACUUCAAUAAAGUUCCAAACAACAACAAGAUUUUUUUUUUUUGUGCAACACUUGAAUUGAUGUGGAUCAUGGAUUUCAGUUCCAAACAACAACAAGAAUCUUCUCAUAAAAUUCUAAAUUCACCCUCCUAAUGAUAACUGUUGCUCAAAUUGCUUGACCUUGCUAGUUAGACUAGCAACAAACUCUUGAGUAUAAAUGAAAGAUGAAAUCUAAUCCAUCUGUCUCUGCGCUUGACAAUUUCAAAGUUCAAUGAAUUUUUUGGUUUUCUGUUAUGUUUCCAAUGAAACUGUAACAGACCGCCAAAAUUCCAUUGCAAUCCAUUUCAUGAGGAGAACAUGCCACAUGUAUUGAGGCUUUACAAAUUGCCAUGGAAGGAACUGACUAUACCCUACCGCCAAAUUAAACAAUGUCACUUGAAAAGUAUAACAGCAAAGAGUGUAACUACAAACACAGUUUCAAAUGUCACUAAUCAAACUCUAAACUAGUCUAAUCCAACGCCAAUCUCCCCACCUCCAAAGUAAAAGUACACAAUGUCGCGCAUAAGUGAGAGGAAGUAUAAAAUUAAACAAUUAUAAACCCUAAACAGCUAGUGAUUACCAAUAUCAACAUUAAAUCUAAUCCUUGCUCACUAG